rnacentral:rRNA from 1 species
GACGAACGCUGGCGGCGUGCUUAACACAUGCAAGUCGAACGGAAAGGCCCUGCUUUUGUGGGGUGCUCGAGUGGCGAACGGGUGAGUAACACGUGAGUAACCUGCCCUUGACUUUGGGAUAACUUCAGGAAACUGGGGCUAAUACCGGAUAGGAGCUCCUGCUGCAUGGUGGGGGUUGGAAAGUUUCGGCGGUUGGGGAUGGACUCGCGGCUUAUCAGCUUGUUGGUGGGGUAGUGGCUUACCAAGGCUUUGACGGGUAGCCGGCCUGAGAGGGUGACCGGCCACAUUGGGACUGAGAUACGGCCCAGACUCCUACGGGAGGCAGCAGUGGGGAAUAUUGCACAAUGGGCGGAAGCCUGAUGCAGCAACGCCGCGUGCGGGAUGACGGCCUUCGGGUUGUAAACCGCUUUCGCCUGUGACGAAGCGUGAGUGACGGUAAUGGGUAAAGAAGCACCGGCUAACUACGUGCCAGCAGCCGCGGUGAUACGUAGGGUGCGAGCGUUGUCCGGAUUUAUUGGGCGUAAAGGGCUCGUAGGUGGUUGAUCGCGUCGGAAGUGUAAUCUUGGGGCUUAACCCUGAGCGUGCUUUCGAUACGGGUUGACUUGAGGAAGGUAGGGGAGAAUGGAAUUCCUGGUGGAGCGGUGGAAUGCGCAGAUAUCAGGAGGAACACCAGUGGCGAAGGCGGUUCUCUGGGCCUUUCCUGGCGCUGAGGAGCGAAAGCGUGGGGAGCGAACAGGCUUAGAUACCCUGGUAGUCCACGCUGUAAACGGUGGGUACUAGGUGUGGGGUCCAUUCCACGGGUUCCGUGCCGUAGCUAACGCUUUAAGUACCCCGCCUGGGGAGUACGGCCGCAAGGCUAAAACUCAAAGGAAUUGACGGGGCCCCGCACAAGCGGCGGAGCAUGCGGAUUAAUUCGAUGCAACGCGUAGAACCUUACCUGGGUUUGACAUGGAUCGGGAGCGCUCAGAGAUGGGUGUGCCUCUUUUGGGGUCGGUUCACAGGUGGUGCAUGGCUGUCGUCAGCUCGUGUCGUGAGAUGUUGGGUUAAGUCCCGCAACGAGCGCAACCCUUGUUCACUGUUGCCAGCACGUUAUGGUGGGGACUCAGUGGAGACCGCCGGGGUCAACUCGGAGGAAGGUGGGGAUGACGUCAAGUCAUCAUGCCCCUUAUGUCCAGGGCUUCACGCAUGCUACAAUGGCUGGUACAGAGAGUGGCGAGCCUGUGAGGGUGAGCGAAUCUCGGAAAGCCGGUCUCAGUUCGGAUUGGGGUCUGCAACUCGACCUCAUGAAGUCGGAGUCGCUAGUAAUCGCAGAUCAGCAACGCUGCGGUGAAUACGUUCCCGGGGCU